CGAUGACAUAGAGGACAUGUGGAUGAGGUAGUAACGAUGACAUAGAGGACAUGUGGAUGAGGUAGUAACGAUGACAUAGAGGACAUGUGGAUGAGGUAGUAACGAUGACAUAGAGGACAUGUGGAUGAGGUAGUAACGAUGACAUAGAGGACAUGUGGAUGAGGUAGUAACGAUGACAUAGAGGACAUGUGGAUGAGGUAGUAACGAUGACAUAGAGGACAUGUGGAUGAGGUAGUAACGAUGACAUAGAGGACAUGUGGAUGAGGUAGUAACGAUGACAUAGAGGACAUGUGGAUGAGGUAGUAACGAUGACAUAGAGGACAUGUGGAUGAGGUAGUAACGAUGACAUAGAGGACAUGUGGAUGAGGUAGUAACGAUGACAUAGAGGAC